GGAGGGGUGGCAGAGUCUGGUUUAUUGCGCGGCACUCGAAAUGCCGUGUCCCCUUCGGGACCGUGGGUUCAAAUCCCACCCCCUCCG
rnacentral:tRNA from 1 species